AAACCAUGGUGUGGACACUGAUUGGUGUAGCUUCUACACCUCUCCCAAGCUUCCCCAAAGCUUUCAUUGUUAUGUUGCUUGAAGCUUGAAAUUUGGUUUCUCAGCUU
rnacentral:snoRNA from 1 species